rnacentral:lncRNA from 1 species
CUUAAUCUCUCCCUGUCAUUGGUGUAUGGAAGGAUAUAAUGCCUCGUUAGUGUAGACUUGAAAUCCUUCCAUUUCUUGGCAGCAAAAGCUAACACAGACUUCUUGCCCCCUUGACCUACCACAAAAGCAAUGUCAACUGCUUCCCAAAUCUGCUCCUUUAUAUCCUUGGGGAUUUUAGCCCAUUUCAUGUCCACAAGUGGAACUCUGGAGCGUGCCAACACACCAAUGUAGGACUGCAUCUCACUAUGUGCUUGGCCAAUUCCUUUCCCCC